rnacentral:lncRNA from 1 species
UUCAGUUGAGUUGCUGACAAAUACAUUCAUCCUCCUCUUCUUGAUGAAAGGUGCACUCUCAGAACGAAAAGACACAGACGAUUUUCUGGACUAGAUCAGACCAUUGAUCUUACAAGUUCCAUACUGUCUCUUGAUAUCACCCACAAUUUACACUUCAGAAGAUGAGGUGGAGUGACAUUUGCAUACCCCUUCAAUGCAGCAGCACCACUGAUGUUCUGCAUCCUGGAGGGCCUGGCACUGACCAAUGGAUGGGUUCCACUUGAAUGCUUUAAGGCACUACCUCCUAAAACAAGACUCUAUUGGCAGACUCCUAUUCCCACCCAUCAUCUGACAAUGCCAACCUAGACAUGGACUACUGGAUAUCCACCUGCGCAAUGAGAUAUCAAGUAUGGACAUUAAAUUCCAAGGAAGAAUGCUACAGAUCGUUUUGCAGCAUUCCUCACUUCUGUGACAAGUUUUACAUUGUGUCCUGAAUGAGAUGAGAAAUGAGCCCAACAUGACUUCCAGUGGAAGAAUCCUCUAUAGGUGAGCAAACUUUUUGGUCUGAGGGCCACAUCUGGGUAUGGAAAUUGUAUGGUGGGCC